AGAGUUUGAUCCUGGCUCAGGAUGAGCGCUAGCGGCAGGCCUAAUACAUGCAAGUCGGACGGGAUUGAGUAGCUUGCUAUUCAUGAGAGUGGCGCACGGGUGCGUAACACGUAUGUAACCUACCUUGUUCAGGGGGAUAGCCUCUCGAAAGAGAGAUCAAGACCGCAUAAAAUCACAAUGUGGCAUCACAAAAUGAUCAAAUAUUUAUAGGAACAAGAUGGGCAUGCGGAACAUUAGCUAGUUGGUAAGGUAACGGCUUACCAAGGCUACGAUGUUUAGGGGAUCUGAGAGGAUGACCCCCCACACUGGUACUGAGACACGGACCAGACUCCUACGGGAGGCAGCAGUGGGGAAUAUUGGACAAUGGGCGCAAGCCUGAUCCAGCCAUGCCGCGUGUGUGAAGAAGGCCUUCGGGUUGUAAAGCACUUUUGUUGGGGAAGAAAAGACACCGGUUAAUACCCGGGGUUUCUGACGGUACCCAAAGAAUAAGCACCGGCUAACUUCGUGCCAGCAGCCGCGGUAAUUC
rnacentral:rRNA from 1 species